AUGGAACGCUAGCGGAGGCUUAACACAUGCAAGGUCGAGGGGCAGCAUAGGGUAGCAAUACUCUGAUGGCGACCGGCGGAUGGGUGCGUAACGCGUAUGCAACCUACCAUUGAUUGGGGCAUAGCCCGAAGAAAUUCGGAUUAAUACUCCAUAAUAUUCAUCAAAGGCAUCUUUUAUGAAUUAAAGCUUUUGCGAUCAAUGAUGGGCAUGCGUGACAUUAGUUAGUUGGUGAGGUAACGGCUCACCAAAACGAUGAUGUCUAGGGGUUCUGAGAGGAUUAUCCCCCACACUGGUACUGAGACACGGACCAGACUCCUACGGGAGGCAGCAGUGAGGAAUAUUGGUCAAUGGACGCAAGUCUGAACCAGCCAUGCCGCGUGCAGGAUGACGGCCCUAUGGGUUGUAAACUGCUUUUCCACGGGGCGAACCCUCCGACGUGUCGGAGACUGACGGUACCGUGGGAAUAAGCAUCGGCUAACUCCGUG
rnacentral:rRNA from 1 species